UCUGGUGACCUUUGAGGAGGUGGCCGUGUAUUUCACGGAGGAGGAAUGGGCCCUGCUGGAUCCCGGCCAAAGAGCUCUGCACAGGGAAGUCAUGGAGGAGAAUUAUGAGACGGUGGCCUCUCUCGAGUCGGACCUCCAUUCGUGUUGGGAAGAAAGAGAAGAUGCCUUUAUCCUGGAUCCCAAAGAAGAGGCGACAUCAACAGCAGGUGACGGGCAGAAGAAUGAGAAUUAUAGAGAACCGCAGAUGGUGCCACUGGUAAUAGCCAAGACUGAGAGUCAGAAAGAGA